AACAAACGCUGGCGGCGCGUUUUAAGCAUGCAAGUCGGACGGCAAGCACUGUAGCAAUAUGGUGCCUAGAGUGGCGAACGGGUGAGUAAGACGUAGGUGAUCUACCUCUGGAUGGGGGAUAGUCCGUGGAAACACGGGGUAAUACCGCAUGAGGCCUUGUGGGUGGAGCCAUGAGGUGAAAGGUGCAAUUGCAUCGUCUGGGGAUGAGCCUGCGGUCCAUUAGGUAGUUGGCGGGGUAAGAGCCCACCAAGCCGACGAUGGAUAGCCGGCCUGAGAGGGUGUACGGCCACACUGGAACUGAGACACGGUCCAGACUCCUACGGGAGGCAG
rnacentral:rRNA from 1 species